UUCAACAAACUGUUUCACGCGAGAAGCCCUCUAUAUUUUUUGUAGCAGCAACAGGUAUAGUUGUGCUCACUAUAGAGUUUUAGACCUACUCUAUAAGCACAACGUGAGGUUUGUGAGUCUAAUAUCUGAUGUGCUUGGCUUAAACUGUGUUCUCUUUUCAUCCAAAUGAGAAGCCCUUUCCCGUUGAGAAAAUAUUCCUGUUGCUCGCUGCAACGGGCCACCAAGAUAGUUGGCUUCAUAUACUUGAUAUUUGGAUUGGCAGGAAUUGGAAUUGUAUUACUAUCCCCCGUGACGUCUUCAUAUGACAACUUCUCCGAUAAUAUACCUAUUACUAAUAACACGGAUGAUAAUCAAGACAGUGCAUGUGCAUCAGAUACCACAAUAUGGCGAGCCAUAGUGCACCACGGUCCAUGGUUGACUGUCCAGUUCGUCGUUUCGAUCCUAACUUCUGUGUUCGCCAUUUUUGUUCUGAUCGCCGCCUGUAUGAAUAGUACGCCCUGGCUACUUUGGCCUUGGCUGAUUUUUCAAUCCUUAUUCGCGAUGAUUGGAUUUAUCUACACGGGAUACUCUGCCGUUUGGUAUUGGUGGGAUUGUGACAUUCCUAUGGGAAUAGGUUACUCUGUAGCAUGUUUUUUUAUAGCAGUUAUAGGCUUCAUCUGUUUCAAAGUGAUCAACAACUACUCUAAAGAAUUGAGAGAAGCUGAAGAAAAUAAUAAGGAAAAUUCUUCUCGAGAAAAAAGGGAAAUCAUUCCUAAGCCCGAUGAUAGAAAUGCAAAUAACGGUGAGAACGUAAUGUUGGAAUAUGAUAACUUGCUAUAGUUGCUAAUGUUGGAAACAUAAUCUGAUCCUUGCUUCGCGCAAGAGUUUCCUUUUAAAAAGCGGCCAGCGACCUGUUGUCAUCAGCCCAGAAUUUUUUACCCUAAAACCUGUAAAACUGUGAUGUCUUGAUUCCGUUGUCGCCAACUGUCAUUACCAUUCUCUUUUUUUUUUACAAGGAAUAAUGAAUGUUUAUCAGAGUGCAGCAGUCUUACGUCCUAUGGAGAAUUGAACUGUCUGCAAAAAGCCUAAAUUACCAAAUCAUUUUGAAGAUUUUUUCACAAAUUUGCUACGGGCUUGAGGAUUGAUGAGUAAAUACAUCCGGUGAUUUUAAUUCAUCGAGGUAUGAAGCCGGAGAAUGUACUCUCAGUCCGAUUCCAGCACUAGGAAAGACGUUUAGGUAUAACAGUUUGCCCAGGACAGUGAAUAAUAAGUGAGGGACGUUUACGAUGAGUAAACCAAGAGGAACAAGGAUCUGGACGACCGCAGCCCAAAGCUACCGUCAAAAGCGACAUAUUUGCAGUGUACCUCGUCUUCGUUUUCUUUUUAAGCGGAGCAACACAUUUACGGUUCUACGAAAAGCGUUGGAACGCCCAAGUAUCCACCGGAAAGUAAACGAAAAAUUGAUAGCAAC